CGCCUGUUUAUCAAAAACAUCGCCUCUUGUAAAAGAAGAAAAAUAAGAGGUCCCGCCUGCCCUGUGACUAUAUGUUUAACGGCCGCGGUAUUUUGACCGUGCGAAGGUAGCGCAAUCACUUGUCUUUUAAAUGGAGACCUGUAUGAAUGGCAAGACGAAGGCUUAACUGUCUCCUUUUCCAAGUCAAUGAAAUUGAUCUACCCGUGCAGAAGCGGGUAUAAUAACAUAAGACGAGAAGACCCUAUGGAGCUUCAGACACUAAAGUAGAUCAUACCCUCUGUAAUUAAACAAAAACAAUGCAAGCCUAAUGAUACCUCCCCUAAUGUCUUUGGUUGGGGCGACCAUGGGGAAACAAAAAACCCCCACAUGGAGUGGGCACACAGUUCCUAUAAACAAGAGCCACAGCUCUAAUUACCAGUAUUUUUGACCAAUAAAGAUCCGGCAAUGCCGAUUAAUGAACCAAGUUACCCUAGGGAUAACAGCGCAAUCCCCUUUAAGAGUCCAUAUCGACAAGGGGGUUUACGACCUCGAUGUUGGAUCAGGACAUCCUAAUGGUGCAGCCGCUAUUAAGGGUUCGUUUGUUCAACGAUUAACAGUCCUACGUGAUCUGAGUUCAGACCGGA
rnacentral:rRNA from 1 species